rnacentral:RNase_P_RNA from 1 species
GAAGCUGGCCAGACAGUCGCUGCGCGCGCAAGUGCGGAGAGGAAAGUCCGGGCUCCACAGAGCAGGAUGCCGGUUAACGACCGGACGCCGCGAGGCGAUGGAAAGUGCCACAGAAAAUACACCGCCGAUGGCCGCGCAAGCGGAUCAGGCAAGGUUGAAAUGGCGAGGUAAGAGCUCACCGCGCUGGUGGCAACAUCAGCGGCAGGGUAAACCCCAUCCGGAGCAAGAUCAAAUAGGCAGGCUAUGACGUUGCUCGCGUCGCCUGCGGGUAGAUUGCUUGAGCGUCAGGUAACGAAACGCCUAGAGGAAUGACUGUCCACGACAGAACCCGGCUUACCGGCCAGCUUCACCU